rnacentral:rRNA from 1 species
CAUGUCUAGUAUAGCAUUAUACCGUGAAACUGCGAAUGGCUCAUUAAAUCAGUUAUCGUUUAUUUGAUAGUACCUUACUACUUGGAUAACCGUGGUAAUUCUAGAGCUAAUACAUGCUGAAAACCCCAACUUCGGGAGGGGUGUAUUUAUUAGAUAAAAAACCAACGCCCUUCGGGGCUUCUUGGUGAUUCAUGAUAACUUCACGGAUCGCAUGGCCUUGCGCCGGCGACGGUUCAUUCAAAUUUCUGCCCUAUCAACUUUCGAUGGUAAGGUAUUGGCUUACCAUGGUUUCAACGGGUAACGGGGAAUUAGGGUUCGAUUCCGGAGAGGGAGCCUGAGAAACGGCUACCACAUCCAAGGAAGGCAGCAGGCGCGCAAAUUACCCAAUCCCGACACGGGGAGGUAGUGACAAUAAAUACUGAUACAGGGCUCUUUUGGGUCUUGUAAUUGGAAUGAGUACAAUUUAAACCUCUUAACGAGGAACAAUUGGAGGGCAAGUCUGGUGCCAGCAGCCGCGGUAAUUCCAGCUCCAAUAGCGUAUAUUAAAGUUGUUGCAGUUAAAAAGCUCGUAGUUGAAACUUGGGCCUGGCUGGCAGGUCCGCCUCACCGCGUGUACUUGUCCGGCCGGGCCUUUCCUUCUGGAGAACCUCAUGCCCUUCACUGGGUGUGUUGGGGAACCAGGACUUUUACUUUGAAAAAAUUAGAGUGUUCAAAGCAGGCCUUUGCUCGAAUACGUUAGCAUGGAAUAAUAGAAUAGGACGUGCGGUCCUAUUUUGUUGGUUUCUAGGACCGCCGUAAUGAUUAAUAGGGACAGUCGGGGGCAUCAGUAUUCAAUUGUCAGAGGUGAAAUUCUUGGAUUUAUUGAAGACUAACUACUGCGAAAGCAUUUGCCAAGGAUGUUUUCAUUAAUCAGUGAACGAAAGUUAGGGGAUCGAAGACGAUCAGAUACCGUCGUAGUCU